AGCAGCCGCGGUAAUUCCAGCUCCAAUAGCGUAUAUUAAAGUUGUUGCAGUUAAAAAGCUCGUAGUUGAAUUUCGGGGUCAGCAGGUUGGUCGUGCCAAUGGUAUGCACUGGCCUUGCUGAUUCCUCCCUCUUGAUGAGCCGUAAUGCCAUUAAUUUGGUGUUGCGGGGAAUCAGGACUGUUACUUUGAAAAAUUAGGGUGUUUAAAGCAGGCAAGCGCUUGAAUACAUUAGCAUGGAAUAAUGAAAUAGGACGUUCGAUCCUAUUUUGUUGGUUUCUAGGAUUGACGUAAUGAUUAAUAGGGAUAGUUGGGGGCAUUAGUAUUCAAUUGUCAGAGGUGAAAUUCUUGGAUUUAUUGAAGACUAACUACUGCGAAAGCAUUUGCCAAGGAUGUUUCAUUAAUCAAGAACGAAAGUUAGGGGAUCGAAGACGAUCAGAUACCGUCGUAGUCUUAACCAUAAACUAUGCCGACUAGGGAUCGGAUGAUGUUAAUUUUUAAUGACUCU
rnacentral:misc_RNA from 1 species